AAAUUUUAGUUAUUACAUAGUAAACCAAAAAAUCCCUCGCACAAGUCUGGAGGAGGCAUGUAGUAGUAUUCCACAUGAGCAAAUUUGUUCUGGUUGCAAAGCUUUUUGCAAGCAUUCUCACAUAACGGAAGAGUUGCUUUUUUAAACACUUUCAUGCAUUGAUUCGGGACACAAUGCUUAACACAUACUUCUAUCGUACUCGCAUAUGUUGAAACCAUCAUUAUAAAUAAAGCUACAAUCAUCAAAACACUGUAUAUCUUUUUUAUUGUUUGAGUCGCCAUUAUUUGAAGAGAUGAAUUUAUGAGUGUUCAAGCUUAUUCAAAUUUUGUUUGUGUUAUAUAGCAAAAAAAAAAAUUAACAGGAUGAUUAAUGUUGAGUUGGCUUUCUGUAUAUUUUUACUUUAUAUAGCAAAAUUAGUUUUAUCUUUUUAAAAUUAUUUAUUUAUGAAGUUUAUUUUUUUUUUCUGGUUUGUAACCAAACGGUUAUUUUUGGUGCAUUUUUCUUUAGAAAGUUAGUUUUUUUUUGUUUAUGUAUUGGCUGUCCUAGCAAUCUAUCUUUUCAAAUUCUUGUUGUCAAGAAACCUACCUAAUUCGGUGUAAAGUUGUAGAUUAUAAGUUCUUUACCGUAAAUACAUGUUGUUGGAAGAACAUCUUAGUACCCUAAAUGCACCAAACCUUCUUCAAGCAUCCUUUAUAUGAAACAAGAACUUAGGGAAUUUAAUGAAUUUUUGAAUGAGGGAUGGAACUGCAAAAAAUAAUAAGAUCAUCAAUAUAUACAAGAACAUGAAGUCAGAGAUCACCAUCAGUAUAUUUAAAGGAGUACUCAGAUAGAGAUUGUGUAAACUUUUAUUCCUUAAGCGCAUUAUAAAGCUUCACCAUCCAACAACGAGGAGUCUGUCAAAGACGAAAAGGUGAUUUAUGGAGACAGCUUACUUGGGAACUUGUCAUUGAUACGAAAACCCAGAGAAAAUACAAAUAUUUUAGCUCCUCGAACCGUACACAAAUUAUUUGAUUAUUUUAUUUACUGUUUAAACUAUCAAAUUUGAA
rnacentral:sRNA from 1 species